AUCUUUCUAGUACAAUAGUAUUUGUGACUUCCAAUCAUAAGAUCCUGGUUAGACCCCAGGGAAAGAUA
rnacentral:tRNA from 1 species